rnacentral:rRNA from 1 species
UACGUAGGGCGCAAGCGUUGUCCGGAAUUAUUGGGCGUAAAGAGCUCGUAGGCGGCCAGUUGCGUCCGCUGUGAAAUCCCGGGGCUUAACCCCGGGCGUGCAGUGGAUACGGGCUGGCUAGAGGCAGGCAGGGGAGAACGGAAUUCCCGGUGUAGCGGUGAAAUGCGCAGAUAUCGGGAGGAACACCGGUGGCGAAGGCGGUUCUCUGGGCCUGUACUGACGCUGAGACACGAAAGCGUGGGUAGCAAACAGG